AAAUUGAAGAGUUUGAUCAUGGCUCAGAUUGAACGCUGGCGGCAGGCCUAACACAUGCAAGUCGAACGGUAACAGAAAGAAGCUUGCUUCUUUGCUGACGAGUGGCGGACGGGUGAGUAAUGUCUGGGAAACUGCCUGAUGGAGGGGGAUAACUACUGGAAACGGUAGCUAAUACCGCAUAACGUCG
rnacentral:rRNA from 1 species